AGUGAACGCUGGCGGUAGGCCUAACACAUGCAAGUCGAACGGCAGCACAGUAAGAGCUUGCUCUUACGGGUGGCGAGUGGCGGACGGGUGAGGAAUACAUCGGAAUCUACUUUUUCGUGGGGGAUAACGUAGGGAAACUUACGCUAAUACCGCAUACGACCUACGGGUGAAAGCAGGGGAUCUUCGGACCUUGCGCGAUUGAAUGAGCCGAUGUCGGAUUAGCUAGUUGGCGGGGUAAAGGCCCACCAAGGCGACGAUCCGUAGCUGGUCUGAGAGGAUGAUCAGCCACACUGGAACUGAGACACGGUCCAGACUCCUACGAGAGGCAGCAGUGGGGAAUAUUGGACAAUGGGCGGAAGCCUGAUCCAGCCAUACCGCGUCGGUGAAGAAGGCCUUCGGGUUGUAAAGCCCUUUUGUUGGGAAAGAAAAGCAGCAGGUUAAUACCCCGCUGUUCUGACGGUACCCAAAGAAUAAGCACCGGCUAACUUCGUG
rnacentral:rRNA from 1 species